UUCACCUCUCAAGCAAAGAUAGCUCGACAAAGUCUUCGACCUAACCGAGUGUAGUGACUAGGAUUGAUCCGAAGCAUCGAGCGGUUGCUUUCACUUAAACACCUGGACAGGACUGGCAGUUAGCAUGGCGUUCUUACAACGGAACAAACGUCAAAUGACAAGCUUGGACAUGAUGCAAGAUAAUCAAGGAAGGAAUAAAAAAAACUCAACUUUGCUGAGAAGAGAAAGUGGAUUUCAAGGACAACUUUUCUUCAAACACUCGUUGACAAGCAAGGAAGAAAGACAUACGCUGAAGCAAGCGACAAGAAUACAAAGUUAACUUCAUUCUUCUUCAGGGAAGAUAACUCGAAAAUAAUUGUAGUGAAAAUUUUCACCAUUAGUUUUCAAAACUUAUCCGCAAACAGUUUCGUUACUGAAGGUAAUUCAACAGUGGUCGAAGAAAACAAAUUGACGAUGUACAUAUGAGCUGUCUUCCUAGGACUUUUAAUUUUUGGAAUAUAACUGUAUGAUAUAAACGUAGACAUUUUGUAAAGUUACCCUUUUUUGAAACGAGAAACUGUUAAACUGAGAAUCGCUGUAAGUUUUUCCUCAGUCUUCUCUGAAGCAUUUGUUAAGUUUCCCGCCAAAACAACUGCGGGCGCUUGAAAAACUUGAACGCGCUGUAAGUAUCAUCUGUUCAAAUUGCCACAAUUUUCCCGCCAAAAAACUUA